rnacentral:rRNA from 1 species
CCCGCUGAACUUAAGCAUAUCAAUAAGCGGAGGAAAAGAAACCAACAGGGAUUGCCCUAGUAACGGCGAGUGAAGCGGCAACAGCUCAAAUUUGGAAUCUGGCCCUCGGGUCCGAGUUGUAAUUUGUAGAGGAUGCUUUUGGCGCGGUGCCUUCCGAGUUCCCUGGAACGGGACGCCUUAGAGGGUGAGAGCCCCGUACGGUUGGACACCAAGCCUCUGUAAAGCUCCUUCGACGAGUCGAGUAGUUUGGGAAUGCUGCUCUAAAUGGGAGGUAAAUUUCUUCUAAAGCUAAAUAUUGGCCAGAGACCGAUAGCGCACAAGUAGAGUGAUCGAAAGAUGAAAAGCACUUUGAAAAGAGGGUUAAAUAGCACGUGAAAUUGUUGAAAGGGAAGCGUUUGCGACCAGACUUUUUCCUAGCGGAUCAUCCGGUGUUAUCACCGGUGCACUUUGCUAGGUCAAGGCCAGCAUCGGUUUCCGUAGGGGGAUAAAAGCUUGGGGAAUGUAGCUCCCUCGGGAGUGUUAUAGCCCCUCGCAUAAUACCCUUAUGGGGACCGAGGACCGCGCUUUUUGCAAGGAUGCUGGCGUAAUGGUUGUCAACGACCCGUCUUGAAACACGG